rnacentral:rRNA from 1 species
GACGAACGCUGGCGGCGUGCCUAAUACAUGCAAGUCGAACGCAGUGGGGACGGGUGAGUAACACGUGGGUAACCUCCCAUCAGAGGGGAUAAAACUUGGAAACAGGUGCUAAACCGAUACUGAUGGAUGGACCCGCGGUGCAUUAGCUAGAUGUUGAGGUAACGGCUCACCAAGGCCACGAUGCAUAGCCUAACUGAGAGGGUGAUCGGACACACGGGGACUGAGACACGGCCCCGACUCCUACGGUAGGCAGCAGUAGGGAAUCUUCGGCAAUGGACGGAAGUCUGACCGAGCAACGCGGCGGGAGUGAAGAAGGGUUUCGGAUCGUAAAGCUCUGUUGUUAGAGAAGCGGUAACUAACCAGAAAGGGACGGCUAACUACGUGCCAGCCGCCGCGGUAAUUC